rnacentral:rRNA from 2 species
UGGGGAAUAUUGGACAAUGGGGGAAACCCUGAUCCAGCCAUGCCGCGUGUGUGAAGAAGGCCUUUUGGUUGUAAAGCACUUUAAGCAGUGAAGAAGACUCCAUGGUUAAUACCCAUGGACGAUGACAUUAGCUGCAGAAUAAGCACCGGCUAACUCUGUGCCAGCAGCCGCGGUAAUACAGAGGGUGCAAGCGUUAAUCGGAAUUACUGGGCGUAAAGGGAGCGUAGGUGGCUCGAUAAGUCAGAUGUGAAAUCCCCGGGCUCAACCUGGGAACUGCAUCUGAUACUGUUGAGCUAGAGUAUGUGAGAGGAAGGUAGAAUUCCAGGUGUAGCGGUGAAAUGCGUAGAGAUCUGGAGGAAUACCGAUGGCGAAGGCAGCCUUCUGGCAUAAUACUGACACUGAGGCUCGAAAGCGUGGGUAGCAAACAGG